AUCCAGCUGACAAGUCCCGAAUAGGACGAAACGCGCGUCCAGCAU
rnacentral:hammerhead_ribozyme from 1 species